rnacentral:rRNA from 1 species
UGGGGAAUAUUGCACAAUGGGCGCAAGCCUGAUGCAGCCAUGCCGCGUGUGUGAAGAAGGCCUUCGGGUUGUAAAGCACUUUCAGCGAGGAGGAAGGUGGUGAACUUAAUACGUUCAUCAAUUGACGUUACUCGCAGAAGAAGCACCGGCUAACUCCGUGCCAGCAGCCGCGGUAAUACGGAGGGUGCAAGCGUUAAUCGGAAUUACUGGGCGUAAAGCGCACGCAGGCGGUUUGUUAAGUCAGAUGUGAAAUCCCCGGGCUCAACCUGGGAACUGCAUUUGAAACUGGCAAGCUAGAGUCUCGUAGAGGGGGGUAGAAUUCCAGGUGUAGCGGUGAAAUGCGUAGAGAUCUGGAGGAAUACCGGUGGCGAAGGCGGCCCCCUGGACGAAGACUGACGCUCAGGUGCGAAAGCGUGGGGAGCAAACAGAUUAGAUACCCUGGUAGUCCACGCUGUAAACGAUGUCGAUUUUGGAGGUUGUGCCCUUGAGGCGUGGCUUCCGGAGCUAACGCGUUAAAGUCGACCGCCUGGGGAGUACGGCCGCAAGGUUAAAACUCAAAGGAAUUG